rnacentral:rRNA from 1 species
UUGGAGGGCAAGUCUGGUGCCAGCAGCCGCGGUAAUUUCAGCUCCAAUAGCGUAUAUUAAAGUUGUUGCAGUUAAAAAGCUCGUAGUUGAAUUUCGGGAUUAGUAGGUUGGUCGUGCCAAUGGUGUGUACUGGCUUUACUGAUUCCUCCUUCUUGAAGAACUGUAAUGUCAUUAAUUUGGUGUUGCAGGGAAACAGGACUGUUACUUUGAAAAAAUUAGAGUGUUUAAAGCAGGCUAACGCUUGAAUACAUUAGCAUGGAAUAAUGAAAUAGGACGUUCGAUCCUAUUUUGUUGGUUUCUAGGAUUGACGUAAUGAUUAAUAGGGAUAGUUGGGGGCAUUAGUAUUCAAUUGUCAGAGGUGAAAUUCUUGGAUUUAUUGAAGACUAACUACUGCGAAAGCAUUUGCCAAGGAUGUUUUCAUUAAUCAAGAACGAAAGUUAGGGGAUCGAAGACGAUCAGAUACCGUCGUAGUCUUAACCAUAAACUAUGCCGACUAGGGAUCGGAUGAUGUUAAUUUUUUAAUGACUCAUUCGGCGCCUUACGGGAAAC